CAGUACUAGAACCAGUACCAGAACUUAAUAAAUAAUUUCAUAAUAAUUAAUUUAUUUAAUACGCCUGGAAUCGGUUAUUAAUGUGUAACAGUUUAAAUAUAUUAUGUAGGUAAAUAUGUGAUAAAAUGAUUAUACAAUAAUCCUUUUUAUCGGGUUUGUUAUUUUUAGGGGACGUUUUGAUUUGUAAAUAAUAACCAAGUACAGUCCAACCGAACCAUUGCAGAACAUCACAAUGUACCUAACUACCACCACUGUAACGGCAGAAAAUGGUCUUAAUCGAGUGCUCAACGUAAUAGCGGUAAAUAAUUCCAUACCUAUUAAUUUUUAAGUACUUAGCUACUAUUAUACUCACUUCAGUGAGAUAGGUAUUCAAAAAGAUGUUUGAGUUAAGUGUAGAUAGAACUAUAAUAGAAGUUAGGGAAAAAGUAGGGCAAAGAAAAAUUGCGUACAAGUGAUUGAGGAAGUUAUGAGAGCAUUUGAAUCGUGCAAAGCGAAAACAGAAGUAAUCCAUUUCUGUAAAUUUUUCAGGAGAGCAAAACAAAAAGUUGAAUCACAAUCAUUCUUCACCAAUAUACCUAAUCUUUUCCUUUCAAUAUUAGCAAAAUGAAAUCUUUUUUUACUGAUUUAAUUUCAACAUUCAGUAUUAUUCAUAAUGUGCUAUCGAAACAAAAGAUUAAAAUAAAAAUUGAAAAAUAUUGGACCAUUUUCCCUCUGUAUUCUUUAUUGGGAAUACAUAAAUAAGUAUGACUGAUAGACAGUUUUGGAGGAUGAGAAUAAAAGUAUCUGAUUCCAUGUGCACGGUUUGUUUACAUUUUUUAUUUUAUCAUAAUCAUGCAGAAUUAUAAAGUUGACUUACAUAAUUAUAGGAUCUACCUACCUAGUGUAUCAUUUGCAUAAUAUAAUUUUAUUAGAAUUUCAUCAUUUGCAUUAUUAUUUUGUAAGACAGUGAUGAGAAAGGAUUCAUUUAAUAUUUAUAAUUCUAUGACAAUAACUAGGGCAGAGGACUUGUAGCAUUUGCAUAUUCUUUUUGCAUGGUCACAAAAAUAGCAGAGUGCGAAACAAAUACAUUUCACGCUUCCACAAAGCUGGUUUUGAAAUUUUAUUGUGCAUAUAAAUGCAUAAUUUACAAGUUUUUAGUUUUUAGGGCAUAUUUCUUCCAUUUUAUACUUUUAAAUGCAUUUUUUUUAAUAAUGUAUCAUUUUAUCAAUUUUUUUUCAUCGACGUUUUUAUUUAUUUAUUUAUACAAGCAAAAUAAUGUUGAAUUUAAAAUUAUUUGAAAUUUUGAUCAUAAUAUGAAUAUGGCUGUUGACUUUUCCCAGACUUAUGUUUUACCUAAAAACACAUCUCGAGAGUUGCCGAUUAGAUUGAUUGUCGAGUUAUUCAUUUUAUUUAUAGACAGAUAAAAUAAUAUUGUUCAUCGCACAAAAUAUUAUUGUUACGGGCCACUGGAACAGCGAUUUAGUAUAUUUCAUAUAUGAUCCUAUAAAUUCCUUUGAUGUUGAAUGUUCUUUUUCAAUGUUUAAAGUGCUUGUUAGCUGACAAUGAAAAAGUUGUCUGUUUGAAAAUUUGGAAAAAAAUCUUGUUGUUCGAUGUAACUUCCAAGGUAAAAAUUUGUGUUAAUCUUAAAUAUUUGAAAAUAAAAUAUUUUGUCAAUUGUUUUUUAGUAGUAAAAUAAGUAUCCAGAUAAGAAAACCUAUAAACUAAACUCAAAUAAUUAAAAUAAUUAAUAGUAACUUGUAUGUUGUUGAAAAAAGUUAUAAACAAAAUGUAUUCAUUAAAAUAAUAGGUACCUACAGAAAAAUUCUUAUUAUUUUUUUUUUCAAAAAUAUUAAUUUUAAAAUGUAUAUUUUUAAUGCAUAUUUUGUAUAUUUAAGUGCAUAUUUGGUGAUUUUUUAGAGCUACAAGUCCUCCGCCCUAAUAAUAACAUUUCAACUUGAAUUUAAUACACAAAUUGGCUUGCCUUUUACAAAACAAAAUAUUUUAACUUUGGCUUGUUUAAUUUGAAUGACUUCAAAAUUUAUUGAUUGUAAACCUAAUCCAAAUUAUUUAUAAGAGUGGAUUUUAUUAUGUGGCUACAAUAUUCAUGAAAACAAUCAAUAAAAUGUAUAAUAAAAAAUACAUUUUAUAAUAAUUUAAUAGCAUUAUUUUAAUAAUUUCAGAAAGUUCACGAAUUAGUUGAAGCAUUCAAUGGCUAUAUUUAAAAAGAUUCUCUGAAGAAUUAUGAACAAAUCGAAAAAUUGUUCAAAAUACUAAUAAUGUAACUCGAUUAAAUGAUAGUCGUUAAAAUGAUAUUAAAAGUUACUUGUACUCAAACAGUAAGUGUUCAUCAAAAAGUUUUUCUUCUUCAAAAAUUAGUUUAAAAACAUGGUGUUUUAUCUAGG
rnacentral:lncRNA from 1 species